GGGCGAUCAAAAUUGAGUGGCGGACUGGCGAUGGUUUGUGGACUGGCGGGCGAAUCGCCUUUGGAGGUUCAAGUUAAGUACGAUUUCCCAUGUAAACAAAAAUUCUAAAGGUGCCUCGACAGCAACUCAUUUUUGAUCGCAUAUGCAUUCGAGGAGUUCACAAUAAUUAUAUUUACAUUUUCUUUUUAUCUAGGGACCACAGCUUGCAGCGCUUGGACUACGCAUAGAUAUGAGUAUCAGAUGCCUAUAGGACUACAUGGCAGUCUUUCAAGUUAUACGAUUAAUUCUGUUUCCCUAUAGUGCGUUCUCCCUGGGUAUAACUAUAACAUAUAUCAAAGAUCAGCGUAGUAGCGUUAUACACAAGUGUAUAAUCGGUAGUAUGAUCUUCCCAUAAACAGUCAAAUAAAUUUCCCUUUUCAUUAAGUGUCUGCCAUACUAGUUUUCAUUAUGGAAGAAAAUACAAACAUUAAAGUUAUUAAAGAGGAAUUGCAGAAAGAAGUAGAAACAAAUUUACUGUGGUCUGAAAUUGAUGUAAAAGUUGAAGAAGUUGAAGUAAAAUAUGAACAUGAACUAAAGGAAUCUCUUUUUGAAAAGAAGUUUAAUAUAAAUGAAGGAGGUAAUUGUUACGGUAAUGUGCAAGUAAAGCGUGAGGAUAACUGUGAUACUACUGCUGAUUUUAAACAACUACAGCUAUCAAUAUCUUGCAAUAAUACGACUGCUCAUAAUGCAACAAAUACAUUGCUAAUACCUGUAAAAAGUGAGCAAGAGUAUGGAUGCUUUAAAUGUAAUUACAAAACAAAAAAGAAAAGAAAUUUAGUUGCACAUAUGAAGAUACACAGUUCUAAAGAAUUUAAUUGUGAACAGUGUAAGUUCUCCACAAAAUGGAAAUCAAGUUUAACUGUCCAUGUGAAAAUGCAGCACGGUUUUGGACAGUUUAACUGUCACGUGUGCAAUUUUACAACAAAUUGUAAAAGCAGCUUAAUUCAACACAUAGAAGAAUAUCAUUCGGGAGAACUUCAUUGUGAACUGUGCAAUUAUGUUGCAACCCGUAAGCGAUACUUGAUGCGACAUAUUAAGCUUUGCCAUAGUUUAGGAGAAUUUAAUUGUGAACAGUGUAAUUUUUCAGCUAAACAUAAAUCAAGUUUAACGCAGCACGUUAAGCGUUGUCACAGUUCAGAAGAAUUUAAUUGUGAACUGUGCGACUAUAUUACUACACAGAAAACAUAUUUGAUGGAACAUAUGAAAAGGUGUCAUGGUUCAAAAGAAUUUCAUUGUAAAGAAUGUAGUUAUGUCACGGCAAGUAAAACCGAUUUAGCUAACCAUAUAAAACAGCUUCACGGUUGGGAAGAUUUUAAUUGUCAGCAGUGCGACUUCAUCACAAAGUGGAGAUCAAGCCUAAUGAAGCAUGUAAAGGUGUGCCAUAGUUGGGAAGAAUUUUAUUGUCAACAGUGUAACUAUUCUGCCAAAGCCAGAAUUCAUUUAAACACCCAUAUAAAAGUGCAUCACGGCUCAGAAGAAUUUAGCUGUCCACAUUGUAAUUACAGUACAAAAUUGAAAAGGUAUUUAUCCGAACAUGUUAAAAACAGUCAUAGUUCGCAACAAUUUGUUUGUGAACAAUGUAAUUUUUACACCAAGUGGAAAAGCAAUUUAAUUAAACAUAGGGCCAGUCAUCACAGUUCAGAAGAAUUUAGUGAAUAUAGUGCAGUUGAUGGCAGGUCCAGGCUUGUUUAUUUCAGUAAAUAAAUAAAUCAAUAAAAGAUGUUAAUGUGUUGCGAUUAGGGAUCCUUAUUAAAUCGGUUAUAAGAUUAUCAGGCAACGUUAGUUAUCUCUGAAUGGGGUUUUUGUCUACCUGUAGAGGUCUCCAGCUCCACCUGCAGUUGCAGAUUCAAUACCUAUAAGCUUAUAUUAUUAUGAUAUACCUCUAAUUCUAAGUGAAUGGACAAAAACUGAAUAAUGUACUUAAUUGCUAUUUAAUAGUCAUAUCUCAUAUGAUGUAUCUUCUGUUAAAUAUACUCUAUUUCUUUUUAGAACUUGUUAAUUUACAUUUGCCCAUUAGCAACACGUGGAUGAUGGAUGCCUAUUCCAAAUAAAGCGAAUGACGCCUCCCAAUAUGCGUUAUUCGUCUAGUUGAAACUCUGAGCGAACAUGUUUGUGUGCUGUUUUGCAAUAACAGAGUAUAUUUGGUCAAAUCAAUCUUGGACUUGCAUGAAGAACAUUGUUUGAUAUAGAACUCGGGACAUAUCAAAAUGAUAUACACAAUGCUUAUAAACAAUAUAAUAAACGUAAAAUAAUAGUUCUUGAAUUGAUCUCCAAGAAAUGUCUAAAAUAUCAAGUUAUCCACAUGUCGCCAUAUCCAUUAUACAAGGAGAAGUAAAACUGAUGACACAGGAAACCACGAAAUUAAAUGGCGCCCGCCCUGUAUAUAUAACAAAAUAUACUAUGCUAUAGGCUAUUUUUAGGCUGUCGGAAAAAGUACAUUUAAUAAUUGUAGUAGAAUUGCAAUGAUCAAUGUUUAUUUAUAGCUGAAAUAUUUUUGUGGCUUGAA